UGGUUGCAUCCCCCCGGGUCUUCCAUGCUCCGUGCAGGGUGUUCUUUCAAUCGUAAGCCGCGAAAGUUGGUUGCACCCCCCGGGUCUUCCAUGCUCCGCGCAGAGGGUUACUAUUUAAUCGUAAGCCGUGAAAGUUGGUUGCACCCCCCGGGUCCUCCAUGCUCCGCGCAGAGUGUUCAAGCUUGGAUGGGAAGCAGCAA
rnacentral:lncRNA from 1 species